GGCAAAAGCGCCGCUGUUCCCUAGCAUCCGAUCCGUGCUCCCCGGUGGGCUCUGUGCACGAAUCAUUUUUGUCUGCCUUUGCCACUGUCCAAUGAACCAACCGCCAGACGCGCAUCAUCCCAUCGGCGACAGCGGCACAUGCGACCGAUUCUCGUCCUGGCAAUGCCCUGCAAGAAGCAGGAACGCGCCGGCAAGCGACCAACGGGGGCUCUGCACUCUUUCUUUUUCAAUAGGGCUCAAAAAA
rnacentral:lncRNA from 1 species